rnacentral:lncRNA from 1 species
AAGCAACAUCUUAUAAAGGUAUAAAUUUGUAGUCUAUUUCUCAUAAAAUUUAAACUUAUGAAUAAAAAUGUUUACAUUUGAACAUGUGUUGGCUUGUCUACCAUAAUUGUAGCAAGACUCUAAUAAAUCUAGACAUUGGUGAAGCAAAAAUAUUAUAUUAUGAUAAUUUAAUAAUUCAUUAUGAAUAUUAAAACUAAUUAAUAAUAUAUUUAUGUUAUUUUUUCUUUCCUCCGGGUCCAAAAUACUUGAAAAGGCUAAGCCUUUAAUACAUAGUUAUAUGUAUAUGGUUUAUCUCAUGACAUAAUGUAAAGAAUAUGAGAACAGCAAUUCUAUACUUAAAUUCUUCACCAUAAUUUGUGACAUUGAUGGUAUGUACGAAGUAAAAGAAUAGUACUUUAUUAAUUAUUUAAUAUUAAUACUUAUAUUUAUAGGAAUUGUAUUAUCAAAUUUUAGCAACUUUAUGCAUAUUGAUCUAGAUAAAAAAAUUAUGGUACAACUCAUGUACAACUUGCAAUAAACAUGAAGGUAUUUGACUUUGCAGAUGCUAAUAGGUGCUACUUUUGACGAAAGAAAAUGCAUCAAUAUUAUUAACGUAAGAAAGUUACAAUCUACUAAAUAUUAAAAGUGCAUACUAAUUAUUUAAUUUUUUAAUUCUAGGUAUCUCAUACGUGUUAAAUAUGUGAUCAUGUUGGAGAACUUUUUUUAACUUUUUUUGUUAGAAAUGUUGAAAUCCUCAUGGAAAAAUCUGUUAACAAACUUUACGAUCUAUACUUGAUGGUAGUAUAACCGUGACAUUUUUUAGUUAAGCAAUAUUUUUUGAUAACAAAUAUAUUAAUAUAGUAUUUUCUGUUUAUAUUAUAGGAGGGCGGACCAAUAGAAUUCGAAGAAUUUGUUAAGAAAUAUAAUAGGAACAACACAUCUUCAUUUUAACAUUCAUCAACAAACAAUACUUCCACAUCUGCAAGGUCUAAAUGGGUUGUAUGUGGCAUAUUGCAAAUGAAUCUGGUUGAAGAAAGUUGUUCUCUUUUACAACUUAUUAUUCGUUAUGGUCAAUCUAACAAAAGGUUAAAACUUUACUAUUUCUUUAUUUGUUCAUUUAAAGCAUGUUACUAAUUUUUUUUCCUAUUUUUUUGUAGGUUGAAAUAAUCAUAAGAUGAACGCUUCAAUCAGAAUGAAAAUAAUUUCUCAAGUUUAAGAGAGAAGGAAUAAAAUCUAUUGCAUCAAAUAAAAAAGAACCGGAUCCCUCCACAUAAGUACAUAUUCAUUUAUCCUACUAAAAAUAUUUAAUUAUUAUGAUAAACAAUUUAUCUUUUUCUAUCAGUGCGAAUCUAUUUAUUAUUGAGAUGUUGAAAAUAAAAAAGUUAAUGAAUAAGAAAUACAUUUCACUUAUACUAUAUUUUUUCAUUCUAUUUUCAAGAUGUUAUGAUUCUCCUAUUAUAUAAAAUUAUAUUUCGAUUUUUACUAUCUCAAUGUGCACGGGUAUCAUUCCCAUGUACAUUGUAUAGCAAGAAACUUUACAAGGGAUUGGUUACAUAAGUAAAGGCAUAAUUAAAAUGAUACGGCAAAGAUAUGCUAGGAUUAUAGAGAUUUG